CUACGUGCCAGCAGCCGCGGUAAUACGUAGGUGGCAAGCGUUAUCCGGAUUUACUGGGUGUAAAGGGCGUGUAGGCGGGAAGGCAAGUCAGAUGUGAAAACUAUGGGCUCAACCCAUAGCCUGCAUUUGAAACUGUUUUUCUUGAGUGAUGGAGAGGCAGGCGGAAUUCCGUAUGUAGCGGUGAAAUGCGUAGAUAUACGGAGGAACACCAGUGGCGAAGGCGGCCUGCUGGACAUUAACUGACGCUGAGGCGCGAAAGCGUGGGGAGCA
rnacentral:rRNA from 1 species